rnacentral:rRNA from 1 species
UAAUACAGAGGGUGCAAGCGUUGUUCGGAAUUAUUGGGCGUAAAGCGCGUGUAGGCGGCUUGUUAAGUCGGGUGUGAAAGCCCUCAGCUCAACUGAGGAAGGGCGCCCGAAACUGGCGAGCUUGAGUGUCGGAGAGGAUGGCGGAAUACCCCAAGUAGAGGUGAAAUUCGUAGAUAUGGGGUGGAACACCGGUGGCGAAGGCGGCCAUCUGGACGACAACUGACGCUGAGACGCGAAAGCGUGGGGAGCAAACAGGAUUAGAUACCCUGGUAGUCCACGCCGUAAACGAUGAGAACUAGGUGUCGUGGGUGUUGACCCCUGCGGUGCCGUAGCUAACGCAUUAAGUUCUCCGCCUGGGAAGUACGGUCGCAAGACUA